UACGAAGGGUGCAAACGUUGCUCGGAAUUAUUGGGCGUAAAGCGCACGUAGGCGGCGCAGUAAGUCCCAUGUGAAAGCCCACGGCUUAACCGUGGAAGUGCAUGGGAAACUACUGUGCUUGAGUACUUAAGAGGAUCGCGGAAUUCCCGGUGUAGAGGUGAAAUUCGUAGAUAUCGGGGAGGAACACCAGUGGCGAAGGCGGCUACCUGGACAGAAACUGACGCUGAGGCACGAAAGCUAGGGGAGCAAACAGG
rnacentral:rRNA from 1 species